rnacentral:snRNA from 1 species
AUACUUACCUGGCAGGGAAGAUAACCGUGAUCACGAAGGUGGUUUCCCGGGCGAGGCUUUAUCCAUUGCACUCCAGAUGUGCUGAUCCCUGCGAUUUCUCCAAAUGUGGAAAACUUUGUACUGCAUAAUUUGUGGUGUGGGGGACUGUGUUCGAGCUCUCCCCUG